GACGAACGCUGGCGGCGUGCCUAAUACAUGCAAGUCGAGCGGACUUAUUUGAGUAGCUUGCUAUUUAGAUAAGUUAGCGGCGGACGGGUGAGUAACACGUGGGUAAUCUGCCUCGUAGACUGGGAUAACAGGCCGAAAGGUUUGCUAAUACCGGAUGAGUUCGUGUUUCUGCAUAGAGACACGAAGAAAGGGGAAACCCGCUAUGAGAUGAGCCCGCGUCCCAUUAGCUAGUUGGUGGGGUAAAAGCCUACCAAGGCGACGAUGGGUAGCCGGCCUGAGAGGGUGGACGGCCACACUGGGACUGAGACACGGCCCAGACUCCGUACGGGGGCAGCAGUAGGGAAUCUUCGGCAAUGGGCGAAAGCCUGACCGAGCGACGCCGCGUGAGGGACGAAGGCCGUUCGGGUUAGUAAACCUCUGUCUGGGGGGACGAGAACGGACGGUACCCCCGGAGGAAGCCCCGGCUAACUACGUG
rnacentral:rRNA from 1 species